rnacentral:lncRNA from 7 species
GCCAUAUUGCUUCAUCAUAGUAUUUCCUCAGACUUACAGAUAUUUAAAUCAUGUUUGGAGAAGAGCUGUGAAAUCAGUGAGUCUGUUUCCCUGAUUGAAGACAGAUCAUAACAGCCCAUCUUGAGAAGAAAGCAAGGAUCAGAGCAAAAUAAGACAAACUGCCAGACUACUACAACAUGUAAUGUCCUUUACACACAAAUCAAGAGGAUGAGCUGAACUGUAGGACAAACUGUAGAACUAAUUUUUCCCACUGAAAAAUUACAGUGAUAACUAUGUCCUGUAUUUAAUUUGGGGCCUAUACACAGGUGAAAGAAGCUCAGAUUUCAGUGCAGCAUCUUUUAACAGGACUGCUGAGAGCUCUCAUGCUUGUGACUUCACUGAUAUAUCUACCUGAUUGCAAAACCAUGAGUUCCAAAUAUGUAGGUGGCCUGGUAAGAAUUACUGAAGUAGCUGUUCUUGGUACAGAUCUUUCAAGCAGUCUUUGCAGUUUUGUGGGUUAGAGCUGAACAUGAUAAACUAUUGUGCUCCCUUCUUUACAUACGUUUCUUUAAUCAAAGGUAGCCAUUUGAAAAAUCUUUCAGACUCAGAAAGUAAGAUGAAUUUAACUUUUUUCUUUUCUUUAAUGUGUCUAUUACAGUUAUUCUGUUGUAAUGUAAAGGACAGAGUUUAAUGUCUUGCACAACAACACUAAGUUACAUAGAUCUGCCUGUGUUGUAUUACCCCUUGUUAAGAGUACACUGAAUUUCAUUCUCUAGGAACAGAUUGUUAUUUGAACAGGCUUCUCUGCAAUUUUUCUGGGUGCUUGAGUGAUAACUGAUUGGAUGACCUACCUACACUCUAAUAACGAACAGAAUAUAGAAAGUAAUACAGCAUAUUAAAUUGAGGAAAUAAAUCUUCUAUUAGUACUAUCUUCUACAACACUAAUGGAAAGUUCAUAUUUUUAUGGCAGCUUAAAUAAGAACUGGAAAAUGAUGAAGCAGGCAGGAUUAAUUGAAUGCCCAGGAGAUAUCACAGUUGCUGGUCAGCCAUCCACCUGCUGGUUACCUGCACCCACCCUACAGUGCAUCAAUGUCCACUGCCACCUGGCUCUAUUCAAAUUGCCAACUUGUAACAGAUUGGGUUUAGAGAGUGUGUUGGGUUUUUCUGUAUAUGUUUGAUGAGCUUAAUCUUUUUCAAAUUGUAGGCUCUAUUAUUGUGUUGACUUAAUAUGUUCAUACAGAAAACUCAUAAUUUCCAUCUAGGAUAUUUACUUGUACUGUAACUGUAACAAAUCAGCAGUGUCAGACCAAAAGUUGUACUGGGAUUGUGUCUAGUAU